rnacentral:lncRNA from 1 species
AUUGAAAGAUAUUUGCCUUUACUUCCGUUUUUCCAGGCUACCAGCUCUUCACUUUAACGGACCGUAAAAGGUACAAGACUGACAGCACUGGAAAUGGAAGGCCUCUAAUUUAUCCUAAAAUGUAUACCGCUUUUAUCAAAGUAGGAACUAAUAAUAUCGGACUGGAAGGAAAAGGAGAUGAUUAUAAAUAAACACGAAUUACCCCAUAGAAGGGGGAAGCAAAUUUCAGUGCCUCAAGUUUGGG